AGUGAACGCUGGCGGCAGGCCUAACACAUGCAAGUCGAGCGGCAGCGCGGGGGCAACCCUGGCGGCGAGCGGCGGACGGGUGAGGAAUUCGUCGGAAUCUGCCUUUUUGUGGGGGAUAACGUAGGGAAACUUACGCUAAUACCGCAUACGUCCUACGGGAGAAAGUGGGGGACCGCAAGGCCUCACGCAGAAAGAUGAGCCGACGACCGAUUAGCUAGUUGGUGGGGUAAAGGCCCACCAAGGCGACGAUCGGUAGCUGGUCUGAGAGGAUGAUCAGCCACACUGGGACUGAGACACGGCCCAGACUCCUACGGGAGGCAGCAGUGGGGAAUAUUGGACAAUGGGCGCAAGCCUGAUCCAGCCAUGCCGCGUGUGUGAAGAAGGUCUUCGGGUUGUAAAGCACUUUUGUCCGGAAAGAAAUCCCUGGAGCUAAUACCUUCGGGGGAUGACGGUACCGGAAGAAUAAGCACCGGCUAACUUCGUG
rnacentral:rRNA from 1 species